rfam:Ruminococcus sp. CAG:563 genomic scaffold, scf26
CAGGAUGAUGGAGGCGCGGUGCUUUACAAGUAACUUUCGCAGGGAAGGCAACUCAGGAAGUGAAAAGAUUGACCGCCGAAGCGUGGGGAGCUGCCUUGCGAACCAUAGCUGGGACGUUGCAGAAUAUGUAACGUACUGUCACAGCUUGUAUGUGGAGUGCUGUCAUGUAG